rnacentral:rRNA from 1 species
UACGUAGGGGGCAAGCGUUGUCCGGAAUCAUUGGGCGUAAAGAGCGUGUAGGCGGCCCGGUAAGUCCGCUGUGAAAGUCCAGGGCUCAACCCUGGAAUGCCGGUGGAAACUGUCGGGCUAGAGUCCGGAAGAGGCGAGUGGAAUUCCGUGGUGUAGCGGUGAAAUGCGCAGAUAUCAGGAGGAACACCGGUGGCGAAGGCGGGUCUCUGGGCCGUUACUGACGCUGAGGAGCGAAAGCGUGGGGAGCGAACAGG